AUCCGGCCGACGAGUCCCAAAUAGGACAAAACACACGUCGUGGAU
rfam:Schistosoma mattheei strain Denwood, Zambia genome assembly, scaffold: SMTD_scaffold0001578